rnacentral:rRNA from 1 species
UACGGAGGGAGCUAGCGUUGUUCGGAAUUACUGGGCGUAAAGCGCGCGUAGGCGGCUUUGUAAGUUAGAGGUGAAAGCCCGGGGCUCAACCCCGGAACUGCCUUUAAGACUGCAUCGCUUGAAUCCGGGAGAGGUGAGUGGAAUUCCGAGUGUAGAGGUGAAAUUCGUAAGAUAUUCGGAAGAACACCAGUGGCGAAGGCGGCUCACUGGACCGGUAUUGACGCUGAGGUGCGAAAGCGUGGGGAGCAAACAGGG